AGGAGAGUUGCCCAGCGCUGCUAUGACUGAGAGGGAGAGAGAACAGAGGCACACUGCUGAUGAAAAUUGUUCCAUUUGUUAAAGAAGAAAAAAGAGGAAAAAACAUCUUGGAGGUGAAACUCAUCAAGUACAAGUCCACAACUCCUCCUCCAACAUCCUCGAAGACAGAAGUGUUUCAGCAUCCCAAAUGGUCUGGGGAUUUUCAAAACACAUCUCUUCGCCACGCACUUGCCAAAGCCAGAGGGAAGGAGGCUGGGAAGACAGCUCUUGUUGCCCUGCACUUCUCUGAUCAGCAGCCCAGCAGCACUGCCCCUGAGUUAAGAUACCAUCAUCAUUCAAGUGUGGUUGAGUGAGCAGGUUUGAAAAGGAAUGAUGGACAGCACCAGCUUGCCACCUUCUGUCUCCAUGCUAAUUGCCUUCAGGAUCCUGCCUCUUAUGUCUAGAUGUAAUUUUCUUCUUCCUGCUGUGCACAAACAUCAUCACCUUUUAAGUUCCUGUCCCUAGACUCAGGAGAUUAUGAAGAGAGUGUAAGAGAGUUGCCCAUGCUCCUUCUAGUCAAGCCUUUUGUUCAGAAUAACUCUUCUCAUUUCAUCUGACUAAUGGUGGAGUUAUUGUUUUCACACAUCCUACACAUCUCCAUCCCUGCGUCCCUAAUUUCCUUCUAGAUAGUCCUCCUAAGAUAAUGCUCUCUCACUUCAAAUUACAGAUGAGCUCAUAAUAGUCUCCUUAAAAUUGGCUUCCCUCCAGUCCUCU
rnacentral:lncRNA from 1 species